rnacentral:rRNA from 1 species
GAAGCUUGCUUCUCUGAUGUUAGCGGCGGACGGGUGAGUAACACGUGAAUAACCUACCUAUAAGACUGGGAUAACUUCGGGAAACCGGAGCUAAUACCGGAUAAUAUUUUGAACCGCAUGGUUCAAAAGUGAAAGACGGUCUUGCUGUCACUUAUAGAUGGAUCCGCGCUGCAUUAGCUAGUUGGUAAGGUAACGGCUUACCAAGGCAACGAUGCAUAGCCGACCUGAGAGGGUGAUCGGCCACACUGGAACUGAGACACGGUCCAGACUCCUACGGGAGGCAGCAGUAGGGAAUCUUCCGCAAUGGGCGAAAGCCUGACGGAGCAACGCCGCGUGAGUGAUGAAGGUCUUCGGAUCGUAAAACUCUGUUAUUAGGGAAGAACAUAUGUGUAAGUAACUGUGCACAUCUUGACGGUACCUAAUCAGAAAGCCACGGCUAACUACGUGCCAGCAGCCGCGGUAAUACGUAGGUGGCAAGCGUUAUCCGGAAUUAUUGGGCGUAAAGCGCGCGUAGGCGGUUUUUUAAGUCUGAUGUGAAAGCCCACGGCUCAACCGUGGAGGGUCAUUGGAAACUGGAAAACUUGAGUGCAGAAGAGGAAAGUGGAAUUCCAUGUGUAGCGGUGAAAUGCGCAGAGAUAUGGAGGAACACCAGUGGCGAAGGCGACUUUCUGGUCUGUAACUGACGCUGAUGUGCGAAAGCGUGGGGAUCAAACAGGAUUA